UGGGGAAUAUUGCACAAUGGGCGCAAGCCUGAUGCAGCCAUGCCGCGUGUGUGAAGAAGGCCUUCGGGUUGUAAAGCACUUUCAGCGAGGAGGAAGGGGGGUGUGUUAAUAGCGCAUCACAUUGACGUUACUCGCAGAAGAAGCACCGGCUAACUCCGUGCCAGCAGCCGCGGUAAUACGGAGGGUGCAAGCGUUAAUCGGAAUUACUGGGCGUAAAGCGCACGCAGGCGGUUUGUUAAGUCAGAUGUGAAAUCCCCGCGCUUAACGUGGGAACUGCAUUUGAAACUGGCAAGCUAGAGUCUUGUAGAGGGGGGUAGAAUUCCAGGUGUAGCGGUGAAAUGCGUAGAGAUCUGGAGGAAUACCGGUGGCGAAGGCGGCCCCCUGGACAAAGACUGACGCUCAGGUGCGAAAGCGUGGGGAGCAAACA
rnacentral:rRNA from 1 species